CUUCCGCCCGUCCUCCGGAAGUGGGCUCGGAGCGACGGCUAGGCCUUCCCACAUCCCGCCUUUUCUCUCCCCGCGUCCCCCCCGCCCGUGACCACCGCCACCGCGGGAGCACGGGAGGCGGGGGGGGGGGUCUGAUGGGCUGGAGGUGGUGCUACAGUCUCCGUUCACGGGACGGAAGGCGGCGGGCUGGCAGAGCCAGGUCUAGUUCAACCCAGCCGUCUCUCCCACCUAAAUGAAUGGCAACUUCAUUCACUUCGGUCAAGAGAGCCAUCUCCUGUUCUCUCUCACACUCCCUUGGACUGGGUAUCCUGCUGGGUCUAACUUCAAAUUGUACCCGUCACCCGACGACGCCUCAGCAGCUCCACAGCCAGCCCAGACAGCACCAUAAGUGAGGUAAAAGCUGAAGACUUGAGAGACACAAGAGUGUGAAACAGUGACUUCAGAUGGAGCAUGGGCAACAGCAGGUGCCAGGUCACGUGAAGAGGAAAAGCUCGUUCUCAGGAGUUACCACGUAAGCAGAUAAAGGAGCGCGGUGGGUGUGAAGUACGGAUGUGCAGAAGCGUGUGAUGGACAUGACAUUCGUCCGGGCCGCCUUGUGGAGAAGGGACCAGCUUGUGUGCCCCAGCUGAAUCCUGACGUUCUCCUGCCUCUCUGACACGCCUCUCACACGAGGAGCUGCAAGUAUUUGGGGGAAAAAUCAUUGCAACUGUUAUUACAUACACACACACCUUAGUUACAACCUUAUAAUUCCUUUAUCUUUGGCGAAAUGACCUUUAAGCCAAACCCAUUAAUUCGAAUUAUCUAACACAUCUGAAGUAACUUGUCAGUGAUGAUACAUAUUAAACAUAAAAGGAAGUGCCGUUCUGUGGUCUUUGCUGAGUGAUGCACUGUUUUCUCUCUUCCUCUGCAACUCCAGGCUCCUUCAAAACCAAGGAAUCGUGGUCCGUUAGAGGUGGGCCAGCAGCACUCAUUAGGAAGCUUCUGGAAACUAUUCUAAGCAAGUGGUGGG